AAAUAAUCAUACAUUUUGGAAAUUUCUCUGUCCAAAAAUCAACACAUCAUGUUAUACCACAAUAUAAAAAAACUUUGGAAGAAUGUGGUAUAACUUUGGGAGAAUGUGGUACAUACAAAAAAGAUCAUCAAACCAUGUAAGUUUCAUGUACAAGCAGUACUUAAUAGGGCUCAAACCGUAGGCUAGGUAAAAGAAUCCAAAGAUGUACGUUCAUCCAGAAGCAGAAAAGCAUCAAUUUAUAGCAAGUCAUGCAAUUUCUAGGUUCAGCAUACCCGUAUCAGUUAGCCAAGUUAAGAAUCAAGGUGUGAAGAUGAACCUUUAGUUACUCCAGCUCAGUAUCUUGUCCCUUAAUCACUUCCUAAUGCCUUGCUGUGGGAUCACACCAUUAAAAUCAAGAUUAUUCUGCUUUUAAAUACAUUAGACUAGAGUCAAAGAAGCACUGGAAUUUCACCUUGUCAAUGGGCAGGCAGUAAAAAUUCACGGUCUGAUCCCUGGAAUAGCAUAGAAACGGUUGGUUUCCAACUCUAACCUCUUAGUUGAAGUGGCCGCAUCUUGGAUCCUAGUACAUGUCUGUGGUGAAACCUGAUGAUGUUCCCAAUACAAAAUAGGAUUUAGGUGACAUUAGGAAAAUAACAUAGAAUGGCAUACCCGG
rnacentral:lncRNA from 1 species